UUUAGUAAUUCGUUAUCCCUCUCUUUAAAAAAAAUGUGGUAAAUCGUAAUAUCAUUUUAUAUUUGGCAGUAAACCACAGAAAAUGAGGUCAGCAAACAGUUCUGUGUUGUGAUUGGACAAAAUCGUCGUUGCCGGAACUGUUCAGCCAAUGAAUGCCCGAGAAUCAACUGUUGAAUCUGAGCGCCAGCUGCGUGCGGGAGAGCUGUCUGUCUGAAGAAGGAAGAGACAGCCUGGCUGCACAGAAGUCCGUGUUCACGCCAAGUGUUAAUGUUUAGCAUCAACUAAAGGAAAUCUCAGUUCAAUCCAGUCAUCAGGACCAUAUUUCGCUGUAUGUUCCCACAUGUCUUCAGAAGAUUCCUACAAGCAAACAGACAUGACCAAGAUGAGGCGGUGGCCACUGGUUUAAUGAUGGCUAACAAGAUCAUUGAGAGAAGCCGCCCACAGUGUCCAAAGCCUGGAGUUAUGGAAUUUUCUUCCUUAUGGAUGCCUCCUAAAAUGACUGAGAUCUUUCUCAGAGUUAAUGUUAAAACUGUUAUGUAGUGUCGGCUAAGGCAUACCAAAAACUCAUGGCUAGGAUAGAUGUGAACAGCCCUGAAGUAAAGACAAUUGAUGAAGUGGUAAAAAAUCAUUUUAAAUGGAGUUGGUUGCAGGAGAGUGUCCAGGUUGAAGGGUGCACCCUUUCACUGAAUUGUUUCAGUAAAAUCAGUGAACCAGGCAAGGCAAUUUGCAACAUACAGAAUGUAACCAACCUAUUAAUUAUGGAGCAAAUGGUAAGACUGCACUGCGGAAACAUAUGGAGCAUCCAGAACACACAAAAAAAUGGAGAAUCCAACAGCAAAACAUGCGCAUCGAGAUAGCACCCACAGAUAAUGUUAUUGUUGCGGCUCCUCACAGCGAACGUCCAAGGUCAAUUCCUCCUCUGUGUGACCUAAUAUAAUAUAAGGUGUGUGUGUGUGUGUGUGUGUGGUGGUGGGGGUUCGCUGGGGUUGCUUCCUUACUUCUUUUUUGCCCUUGGCUGAUCACAUGCCUGUU